rnacentral:misc_RNA from 1 species
UCCGGCUUAUCACCGGCAGUUUCUUUAGAGUGCUCAACUAAAUGGUAGCAACUAAGGACGAGGGUUGCGCUCGUUGCGGGACUUAACCCAACACCUCACGGCACGAGCUGACGACAGCCAUGCAGCACCUGAACCGGCAGUCCCCGAAGGGAAAGUCCUAUUUCCAGGACUGUCCACCGUUGUCUAGCCCAGGUAAGGUUCUUCGCGUUGCGUCGAAUUGAACCACAUGCUCCACCGCUUGUGCGGGCCCCCGUCAAUUCCUUUGAGUUUCACCCUUGCGAGCGUACUCCCCAGGUGGAAUACUUAUCAGGUUUCCUUCGGCACUGAUCAAAAAAGACCAACACCAAGUAUUCAUCGUUUAGGGCGUGGACUAC